UAAGGGAUGUUUUUGUAUUGAUUUGCUCGAUGUUAAAUGAUGUUAUACCUCUAUUUAAUAAUAUGUCAUUGCUUCUGUUGGCAGGUAUGUUGUGGGACAGUAUCCUCGGUUUUUAAGAGCUCGUUGGAAGUUUCUAAAAGCUGUUGUGAAUAAGUUUCUUGAGUUUUUGCAUGAACCUCAUCCUGUAGUUCAGGUUAUGUUUUCUUCCUAUGUUUUCUAUCCUACUUUUUCUUAUAUCAACAACUUUGUUUAUGUCCCUGUGCGUGUGCCUGUGUUUGUGUGCUCUGCGUGCUCAUUUCUGUGUGCUCUGUGUCUGUACUCUGUGCUGUGUGCUUUUGUUUGCCUUUGAGUCUUUGUGUGUGCGUGUUGUGUUUUGUAUGUGUUUCUAUGUGCGUGUAUCUGUCUUUUUUGUGCUCACAGAUGGCAGCCCUUCAGUUUGGGAACACUACCAAUAUUCUUGAGGCAUAUUCAUUUGGUUCAAGUGAGGAACAAAAUUUUGCACUGUUCUUCACCUCAAUUUGCAAGGCAGGUUCACAUUUGAAUUCUAGAAUCCAGUAAA